rnacentral:rRNA from 1 species
AGAGCGAACGCUGGCGGCAGGCUUAACACAUGCAAGUCGAGCGGGCGUAGCAAUACGUCAGCGGCAGACGGGUGAGUAACGCGUGGGAACGUACCUUUUGGUUCGGAACAACCCAGGGAAACUUGGGCUAAUACCGGAUAAGCCCUUACGGGGAAAGAUUUAUCGCCGAAAGAUCGGCCCGCGUCUGAUUAGCUAGUUGGUGAGGUAAUGGCUCACCAAGGCGACGAUCAGUAGCUGGUCUGAGAGGAUGAUCAGCCACAUUGGGACUGAGACACGGCCCAAACUCCUACGGGAGGCAGCAGUGGGGAAUAUUGGACAAUGGGCGCAAGCCUGAUCCAGCCAUGCCGCGUGAGUGAUGAAGGCCCUAGGGUUGUAAAGCUCUUUUGUGCGGGAAGAUAAUGACGGUACCGCAAGAAUAAGCCCAGGCUAACUUCGCGCCAGCAGCCGC